AGUGAACGCUGGCGGUAGGCCUAACACAUGCAAGUCGAACGGCAGCACAGUAAGAGCUUGCUCUUACGGGUGGCGAGUGGCGGACGGGUGAGGAAUACAUCGGAAUCUACUUUUUCGUGGGGGAUAACGUAGGGAAACUUACGCUAAUACCGCAUACGACCUACGGGUGAAAGCAGGGGAUCUUCGGACCUUGCGCGAUUGAAUGAGCCGAUGUCGGAUUAGCUAGUUGGCGGGGUAAAGGCCCACCAAGGCAACGAUCCGUAGCUGGUCUGAGAGGAUGAUCAGCCACACUGGAACUGAGACACGGUCCAGACUCCUACGGGAGGCAGCAGUGGGGAAUAUUGGACAAUGGGCGCAAGCCUGAUCCAGCCAUACCGCGUGGGUGAAGAAGGCCUUCGGGUUGUAAAGCCCUUUUGUUGGGAAAGAAAAGCAGCAGGUUAAUACCCCGCUGUUCCGACGGUACCCAAAGAAUAAGCACCGGCUAACUUCGUG
rnacentral:rRNA from 1 species